rnacentral:rRNA from 2 species
UAAGGAAGUAAGGGCACACAGUGAAUGCCUUGGCACUAAGCACCGAAGAAGGACGCAACUAACGGCGAAACGCCACGGGGAGCAGUAAGUACGCGACGAUCCGUGGGAAUCCGAAUGGGGAAACCCGUCAUGUGGAAGACAUGACAUCCUAGAAAUAGGAGGGGGACGCAGGGAACUGAAAUAUCUAAGUACCUGUAGGAAAAGAAAGUAACAACGAUUCUACUAGUAGCGACGAGCGAACGUGGAGGAGCCAGCUUACAUAAUAGUUACAAAACCAUAAUAUAGACGAGCUGCAUGGGAAGGCAGACCAAAGAGGGUGAGAGUCCCGUAGUCGAAAUGUUGUGGACUAGGUAAGCAAGAAGUAGGGCGGGACACGAGAAAUCCCGUUUGAAGAUCGGAGGACCAUCUCCGAAGGCUAAAUAUGUCUUAGUGACCGAUAGUGAACCAG